UUUCGUUCGACUCCCUCGCUACGUUAUCUUCCUUGCCGACUCAAGCUUUAUGCCGAUCGCUGCCUGACUGACUGCUUUCUCGUCGACUUUUCUUGUAUCUCGACAACGUCGUGUAUCUGACCGAAUCUGUUGCUCGUAUCUCACCGACUCUGCUGCUCUCUCCCAAAAGACAUUUAUUGUUCACUGCUGUUGUCUUUGCUGAACUCGUUAUCAAAGAAAAUCGGCAAAGGGAAGAAAAACUUAUCGAGGAAGGUAGAAAAGGGAAGAAAAACUUAUGGAGGAAGGUAGACAAAGAGAAGAAAAUCUCAAGGAGAUGGUUCAUAAGAUGAUUCAAGAGGUUGGAUAUACAAAUCAUUUGUAUCCAGGAGGAUCUGGUCCCCGCGAGGAUCAUGAUAAAUGAAAUAAAAAAUUAGAUUUAGUUAGAUAAUAUGAAUAUUUGAAUGAUGUGAUAUUUUUAGAUUAAAAAUUAAUUGCUUCGAAUAUUUUUAA